AUUGAACGCUGGCGGCAUGCUUUACACAUGCAAGUCGAACGGCAGCGCGGGCUUCGGCCUGGCGGCGAGUGGCGAACGGGUGAGUAAUGCAUCGGAACGUGCCCAGUAGUGGGGGAUAGCACGGCGAAAGCCGGAUUAAUACCGCAUACGACCUGAGGGUGAAAGCGGGGGACCGAAAGGCCUCGCGCUAUUGGAGCGGCCGAUGUCGGAUUAGCUAGUUGGUGGGGUAAAGGCUUACCAAGGCGACGAUCCGUAGCUGGUCUGAGAGGACGACCAGCCACACUGGGACUGAGACACGGCCCAGACUCCUACGGGAGGCAGCAGUGGGGAAUUUUGGACAAUGGGGGCAAACCUGAUCCAGCCAUGCCGCGUGCGGGAAGAAGGCCUUCGGGUUGUAAACCGCUUUUGUUCGGGAAGAAAUCCUCUGGGCUAAUACCCCGGGGGGAUGACGGUACCGGAAGAAUAAGCACCGGCUAACUACGUG
rnacentral:rRNA from 1 species